GGGACACGUGGUAUCCUGUCUGAAUAUGGGGGGACCAUCCUCCAAGGCUAAAUACUCCUGACUGACCGAUAGUGAACCAGUACCGUGAGGGAAAGGCGAAAAGAACCCCGGCGAGGGGAGUGAAAAAGAACCUGAAACCGUGUACGUACAAGCAGUGGGAGCCUCUUUUAUGGGGUGACUGCGUACCUUUUGUAUAAUGGGUCAGCGACUUAUAUUCUGUAGCAAGGUUAACCGAAUAGGGGAGCCGAAGGGAAACCGAGUCUUAACUGGGCGUUAAGUUGCAGGGUAUAGACCCGAAACCCGGUGAUCUAGCCAUGGGCAGGUUGAAGGUUGGGUAACACUAACUGGAGGACCGAACCGACUAAUGUUGAAAAAUUAGCGGAUGACUUGUGGCUGGGGGUGAAAGGCCAAUCAAACCGGGAGAUAGCUGGUUCUCCCCGAAAGCUAUUUAGGUAGCGCCUCGUGAAUUCAUCUCCGGGGGUAGAGCACUGUUUCGGCAAGGGGGUCAUCCCGACUUACCAACCCGAUGCAAACUGCGAAUACCGGAGAAUGUUAUCACGGGAGACACACGGCGGGUGCUAACGUCCGUCGUGAAGAGGGAAACAACCCAGACCGCCAGCUAAGGUCCCAAAGUCAUGGUUAAGUGGGAAACGAUGUGGGAAGGCCCAGACAGCCAGGAUGUUGGCUUAGAAGCAGCCAUCAUUUAAAGAAAGCGUAAUAGCUCACUGGUCGAGUCGGCCUGCGCGGAAGAUGUAACGGGGCUAAACCAUGCACCGAAGCUGCGGCAGCGACGCUUAUGCGUUGUUGGGUAGGGGAGCGUUCUGUAAGCCUGUGAAGGUGUGCUGUGAGGCAUGCUGGAGGUAUCAGAAGUGCGAAUGCUGACAUAAGUAACGAUAAAGCGGGUGAAAAGCCCGCUCGCCGGAAGACCAAGGGUUCCUGUCCAACGUUAAUCGGGGCAGGGUGAGUCGACCCCUAAGGCGAGGCCGAAAGGCGUAGUCGAUGGGAAACAGGUUAAUAUUCCUGUACUUGGUGUUACUGCGAAGGGGGGACGGAGAAGGCUAUGUUGGCCGGGCGACGGUUGUCCCGGUUUAAGCGUGUAGGCUGGUUUUCCAGGCAAAUCCGGAAAAUCAAGGCUGAGGCGUGAUGACGAGGCACUACGGUGCUGAAGCAACAAAUGCCCUGCUUCCAGGAAAAGCCUCUAAGCAUCAGGUAACAUCAAAUCGUACCCCAAACCGACACAGGUGGUCAGGUAGAGAAUACCAAGGCGCUUGAGAGAACUCGGGUGAAGGAACUAGGCAAAAUGGUGCCGUAACUUCGGGAGAAGGCACGCUGAUAUGUAGGUGAAGUCCCUUGCGGAUGGAGCUGAAAUCAGUCGAAGAUACCAGCUGGCUGCAACUGUUUAUUAAAAACACAGCACUGUGCAAACACGAAAGUGGACGUAUACGGUGUGACGCCUGCCCGGUGCCGGAAGGUUAAUUGAUGGGGUCAGCGCAAGCGAAGCUCUUGAUCGAAGCCCCGGUAAACGGCGGCCGUAACUAUAACGGUCCUAAGGUAGCGAAAUUCCUUGUCGGGUAAGUUCCGACCUGCACGAAUGGCGUAAUGAUGGCCAGGCUGUCUCCACCCGAGACUCAGUGAAAUUGAACUCGCUGUGAAGAUGCAGUGUACCCGCGGCAAGACGGAAAGACCCCGUGAACCUUUACUAUAGCUUGACACUGAACAUUGAGCCUUGAUG
rnacentral:rRNA from 1 species